rnacentral:misc_RNA from 1 species
UCCCUGUUACCAGGGCAGUCUAGCCAGAGAAAUACAACUGACUAUAAGGGUUGCGCUCGUUGAUGGACUUAACCAAACAUCUCACGACACGAGCUGACGACGGCCAUGCAUCACCUGUCACUUGGUUCCCGAGGGCACAGUUUCCUUUCGGAAGCUUUCCAAGGAUGUCAAGCCUGGGUAAGGUUCUUCGCUUACCAUCGAAUUAAACAACACGCUCCACCGCUUGUGCGGGUCCCCGUCAAUUCCUUUAUGUUUUAGUCUUGCGACCGUACUCCACAGGCGGGAUGCUUAACGCGUUAGCUUCGCUACUAGAGGGGUCGAUACCUCUAACAGCUAGCAUCCAUAGUUUACGGCGUGGACUAC